UCGGGGCCCGAGCCUCGCCUACCUGCGGAGCCCUGGUAUCCCGCGGGCCGUGGCUCCCCAGCCUUUCAGCUCCGCGGCUCCCCGGUUCCCCGGUGGUGGGGGCUGGGCGCAGUCCUUGGCUCCCUGGCCCAGGGUUUGGAGGCUCUGCCCGGGAGAGUGGCGGGAGGGGCGGUCGUUGGUCGUCGACUCUGGGCUCCAGUCUGCAGCGCCCUCUGGGAGCGGACACCGAGCGCCCUCCAGCUCCCGGCCUUCAGGCCACCCCAGCUGACACCGAGGGUAGACACGGUGCCUUCUGAUCCUGGCCCACACUACUAAUGUAUGAGUUUGAAAAAAAGGAAGGGGAAGAGCAAGAUGAAGCUUCUGCCACUGGAUCCAGGGGUGGUUUAUUUCACAGCAAAAGACAG
ensembl:lncRNA